rnacentral:rRNA from 1 species
UCCGUAGGUGGAUCAAUCAGUCAGAGGUGAAAUCCUGCAGCUUAACUGUAGAACUGCCUUUGAUACUGUUGAUCUUGAGUCACUAUGAAGUGGUUAGAAUGUGUAGUGUAGCGGUGAAAUGCAUAGAUAUUACACAGAAUACCGAUUGCGAAGGCAGAUCACUAAUAAUGUACUGACACUGAGGGACGAAAGCGUGGGGAGCGAACAGGAUUAGAUACCCUGGUAGUCC